CAAGUCGAACGGAAAUAAAGGAGCUUGCUCCUUUAAAUUAGUGGCGAACGGGUGAGUAACACGUGGGUAAUCUGCCCCAAUGACCGGGACAACCCGAGGAAACUCGGGCUAAUACCGGAUGUGGUGCACAGGCAUAAGCCCGUGUACUAAAGGUAGCUUCGGCUUCCGCAUUGGAGGGGCCCGCGGCCCAUUAGCUUGUUGGUGGGGUCAAGGCCUACCAAGGCAACGAUGGGUAGCUGGUCUGAGAGGACGAUCAGCCACACUGGGACUGAGACACGGCCCAGACUCC
rnacentral:rRNA from 1 species